GUUCUGUGAUGUUGACAGAAGCAGAACACAGGAAUCCACUCACCAUCUACUGUAUUGCCCUGGCCUCUUCUUUGCCAAGAGCAUUUGGUUUCUUUUUCUCAGUAUCAGAGAAGUCCUGGGCAAGCUGACCUGUUAAACUGCCUGAAUGAGAGAGAGCAGUGUCUAAAGAGGCACACACACACAGACAGGCAUCCUUUUGGUUCACUGAAUGUAGUUGAAUGCCCCCAAAUUUCUUGUAAUGAUGCCCCGGUAGCUGUUUACAAACAUCAAGAAUUAGGUUGGAAGAAAAAGAAAAAAGUGUCAAUGUCCUCUGAAUGAAGACCAAUGGAUAAUAACCCCCUUUGAACACAAGCAUGUGGCAAGCAUUGUGAUGAAUUCCUUGUUCCCAGAUUGAAUAUAAAUAAAUCAUGGAGAGAUGGAGAAGAGCGUGGUAUA
rnacentral:lncRNA from 1 species